ACAGAGGUGCUGAACACCACUUGGACUUGAAAAAUAGCCUGAAUUUCUACCAUCUUCAGUUACAGAAGAAAAUACUCAGCGCCAGAAUCUACCCCAGCACACAAAAGACAUCUCAAGAAAUACUGGUUGAGCACAAGGCUUACUACACAAGGAAGUUGAAUUGAUUCAACAGAAGUCCAGAGCUCCACUCCCGUUCCCCUCUGCAGCUCCCUGUGUUUUAGCAGUUCCUCAGUUCGGCUGAGAUCAGAAAUUGGCCAAGCGUAUGUUUGCAAAUUUUAUUGUAUUUGUCUUAACAUGGUUUUGUUCAGGUGUUUAGUUUUUUAAAAUCUUUAAGAGUGAUGCAAGUCCCAGACCUUAUGGUCUCCCCUUUGUGGGAAGUCAUAACAUUUUCCCAUGCAGAUAAUCAAGUGAGAAAAGUGAUGUUAAUGUGAAACAAGCUGAUAGAACCUGUCUAAACUCAGUAAUCCAUUCAACUUCCAGUUCCAUGGGCAAGACCUGCUUAAUUGCCAGCCAUAUUUAGUGAGCAGAGUGUGGGGCCUUUGCAAGGCAGGGCUUGGAAGCCUUACAGUCCUCUCAGCUCCUACUCCAGUUCUCCACCCCAAAGUGAACUUUACAUCACAUCAAGUGCUUUGUAUAUACUGUUAAGACUAAGGCCAGAUGUGGAGAUUUUGUUUGUUUCCUUUAGGUAUACAUGCUCUAUUCAUAUAACUGCAAAUACAAACACUCAUCGAAGAUUAAAUAGACUAAUGCCAUCCAUAAUGAAACAAAGUUUCUAAGACAGUGUUUUCCUGACAUUUCUAAACCAAACAUUUCUGUAGUGCUUAACCAUAAAAUAAAUAACCAGCUUCCUUCUUUUU
rnacentral:lncRNA from 7 species